rnacentral:tRNA from 1 species
GAGACUUUAAGUUAAAUUCAACAAACUUAUAGCCUUCAAAGUUAUAUAUAUCUAAGACGGGGUAAGUCUUA